rnacentral:rRNA from 1 species
AAGGAAAGAAAUUUAUUAUUUGUAGUAGUAUUUUAGGUAAAUUAUUAUUAAGAUUGGGGUUUAGUAUAGAGAAAAGAAUGUAUUGUGAAUUUUAGUACUGUGAAGGAAUGUUGAAAUAGCUUAAAUAAUAUUUAUGAAAAAGUAGAUUUGUGUCGUACCUUUUGUAUCAGGGUUUAUUAAAAAUCUAAAAUAUUUUAUAGUCCCGAGGUUUAAAGAGCUAAUUUUAUGUGAAGUUAAAGUAUCAAAUUUAUUACACACAUACUUUUAGAAAUGAAAUAUUAAUCGGUUUAAAGGAUAUCUGGUUUCUUAAGAAAUUAAUUCAAUUUAGGUAUUUGAGUGAUUAACAGUUAAAUUUUAGACUGUUAGUUCGGGGGUACUAAAGAAGUAGGGGAUAAGCUUUAUUUUUAGUUUAUAAAUGUAAACUGUGUUUGAUUUGUAGGCUUGAGGGUAGCCAUCAAUUAAUCGUGUUAUAACCUAUUAAACUAAAACUUGAUUUUGUUUGUUUUAAUUUAUCUAUUAAGAAUUAGUUUAUAAUAAAGAAGAGCUAAAUAUAAUGAUAAAAUUAUUAUAAUUUAAUGUGUAAGUUAAAAAUGGUUAGAUUUGGGUAAGGAAUUCGGCAAAGUAGUACUCACCUGUUUAUCAAAAACAUCGCCUUUGGGGUUUAUAAAAGGUAUAACCUGCCCACUGAUUGUUUAAAGGGCCGCAGUAUUUUGACUGUGCAAAGGUAGCAUAAUCAUUAGUCUCUUAAUUAGAGGCUGGCAUGAAUGGUUGGAUGAGGUAUUAACUGUCUCUUUCGGAAAAAUGUAGAAUUUAACUUUUUAGUCAAAAGGCUAAAAUAGAUUUAGAGGACGAGAAGACCCUAUAGAGCUUUAUAUUAAUUGGGGGGUGGGGGUAGAGGAAGCGUUCUGUUACUUAUUUAGUAUUUUGUUGGGGUGACAAAGAAAUAAUUAAACUUUCUUUUUUAAGAACAAUGAUUAUUGACUAAAGGAUCCGUGCUGAACGAUUGUAAGACUAAGUUACCUUAGGGAUAACAGCAUAAUCUUCUUUGAGAGUUCUAAUCGACAAGAAGGGUUGUGACCUCGAUGUUGGAUUAAGAUUAAUUUAAAAUGUAGCCGUUUUAAAGUUGGGUCUGUUCGACCCUUAGAUUCUUACAUGAUCUGAGUUCAGACCGGCGUGAGCCAGGUUGGUUUCUAUCCUUAAUUAUUUAAAAUGGUUUAGUACGAAAGGACCCGCUAUUUAAGAUAAUCUUUUAUUUAGAAUAAUAUUA